ACCACUUGUGUACCAGUUGUAAUUGGCGCCACUAUGCUAACGAGGAUUGAUGCAAUACCAAAAUCGACCACGUGGACAGUAGGGUGGCGCUGUUAAAGAUAAGUCAUUGGUUGUGUUGUCUUUGUAAAGUGAUCUGGAAUUUGAGAAGUAACUUCCACUGAGGCCUUAGAUUGACAAGUUUGUGUUCCCUGUGUUUACAAAGACUGAUCUGUCAGAUAUCUGGGAUUCUUACCACAUCCUUCAAGUUUCCUGCCCCAUCAAUCAACAACAACAUGAGCCACAUCUCAGUGAGAGAUCUUCAGAACACUCCUCCAGAGAGACCCUGUGUGGAGCCGGGCCUGGAGGAGCUGAGGAGGCCGAGCAGAGACCUCAUGGCCAUCCGUCUUCAGGUGGACAAACACUUCCAGAGCAGCAACACGUCAGAGGAAUGGCAGAUGAUGGGGGAGGUCAUCGACCGCCUGCUGUUUGGCCUGUACAUCAUCUUCAUCUCUGUCAGCUUCAUCACCAUCGUGUCCAUCUGGAUCUGGAAUAACUCGUAUGCGGCGUGAUUCACAUCAGGACGACAAGAAGAGAGUUUUAUUCACUGUUGGUGUACCAGGAUCUCACACGCUGGAUCCUGAGAUGAGAAAGGAGACACCAGCAGACGAACCUCCCAAAUGGAAGCAGCAUUAGAGAUUCUGCAGUGCUUGUGGAAAAAAAGACUGAGAUGGUGGUUCCAAGGCUGGAUCAAGACACUUGAUAUCGGUCACAGUGAGUGUUUUUGCAGAUGGGGUGGCAACUUUGAGAAAAAUCUGGGAUGGCAACCUUUCAAUUAGAACUGUGUUACACCGUCAUGUUAACAGCAGUAAAUCACAACGUACAGAACCGCAGUGAUUAACAACAACGUGACGGUACAUAACAUUCUGUGUGUUAAUUCUGAGGUUCACAACAUGUUCAGAGUGCUUUGGAAAGCAAUUUUUAUUAUUCAUUUUUGCUGAGUCAAUAUUUUGUUGGAAACUGUCCUUAAAGCUUUUCACAGGUCUGCUGUUCGCUCUCACAUUCGCUGCGGUGGCUCGUGCGGUUCUAACCCGUCACCUCUUACAUUACUCACGCCUGCUGCACCUGAGGGCAUCAGAAAUAGAUUGACUGACACAAGCAAAUACAAACUCUUAAUUUGCAAGUUUUUUUUCUAUUUGCAUGUGUUUUCUUGAUUUGCAGUAUGUUGAGCUCUCAGCUGCCAUACAAAUACACCAUAUUGAUGACAGCUGGUACUGUCCAAUGGGUGCAGGUGAAACCCACAACCCUAUAAUCCUUUUUAU